rnacentral:lncRNA from 1 species
CACCACCAUACUACAAGUAUGAAUCGCCUCCUUACAAGUAUGAAUCUCCGCCACCGCCACACUACUACUAUAAAUCCCCACCACCACCACAUUACUACUACAAAUCCCCGCCACCACCAUACUACAAGUAUGAAUCGCCUCCUUACAAGUAUGAAUCACCGCCACCGCCACCAUACAAGUAUGAAUCCCCACCACCGCCACCAUACAAGUAUGAGUCGCCACCGCCGCCACCAUACAAGUAUGAGUCACCGCCACCACCACCAUACAAGUACGAAUCACCACCUCCACCUCCAUACAAGUACGAGUCCCCGCCUCCACCUCCAUACAAGUAUGAGUCGCCCCCACCGCCUCCUUACAAGUAUGAAUCUCCACCGCCGCCACCAUACAAGUACAAAUCGCCACCUCCACCUCCAUACAAGUAUGAGUCACCCCCACCACCUCCUUACAAGUAUGAAUCCCCACCUCCGCCACCAUACAAGUAUGAGUCCCCACCUCCGCCACCAUACAAGUAUGAAUCGCCACCUCCCCCUCCAUACAAGUAUGAGUCGCCCCCACCGCCUCCUUACAAGUAUGAAUCCCCACCUCCGCCACCAUACAAGUAUGAAUCGCCACCACCGCCUCCAUAUUACUAUAAAUCUCCACCGCCUCCUUAUUACAAGUAUGAGUCUCCACCACCACCAUACUACAAGUACGAGUCUCCACCUCCAC